UUGGAGAGUUUGAUCCUGGCUCAGGAUGAACGCUGGCGGCGUGCCUAAUACAUGCAAGUCGAGCGAACAGACAAGGAGCUUGCUCCUUUGACGUUAGCGGCGGACGGGUGAGUAACACGUGGGUAACCUACCUAUAAGACUGGGAUAACUUCGGGAAACCGGAGCUAAUACCGGAUAAUAUUUCGAACCGCAUGGUUCGAUAGUGAAAGAUGGUUUUGCUAUCACUUAUAGAUGGACCCGCGCCGUAUUAGCUAGUUGGUAAGGUAACGGCUUACCAAGGCGACGAUACGUAGCCGACCUGAGAGGGUGAUCGGCCACACUGGAACUGAGACACGGUCCAGACUCCUACGGGAGGCAGCAGUAGGGAAUCUUCCGCAAUGGGCGAAAGCCUGACGGAGCAACGCCGCGUGAGUGAUGAAGGUCUUCGGAUCGUAAAACUCUGUUAUUAGGGAAGAACAUACGUGUAAGUAACUAUGCACGUCUUGACGGUACCUAAUCAGAAAGCCACGGCUAACUACAGUGCCAGCAGCCGCGGUAAU
rnacentral:rRNA from 1 species